GGGGAUCCUGUAAGAGUCCCCCAGAGGCCAGCGCCAUGGUGUCGGACUUCCAGAACCAGGAGCCUUCUUUACAAAUUACCCAGCAUCAGAUAUUUUGUUAUCAAAAGAGAAAAAGAGACUGAUAACUCCUCCACUGAAGGCAAGCCCAUGAGACCAGGGACCUGGAGUGUUGCUACAGAGGCAUCAGGAGAGCCUUUAAGAAAGCCAGCUCAGGGGCUGGGGAUGAGGCUCAAGCAGUAGCGCGCUCGCCUGGCAUGUGUGCGGCCCGGGUUCGAUCCUCAGCACCACAUACAAAGAUGUUGUAUCCGCCGAAAACUAAAAAUAAAUAAAUAAAAAAAUUCUCAAAAAAAAAAAAAGGCCAGCUCAAACCCCAGUUCAAAUGGGAGUUACUGACCUCUGUAUCUCUCUUACCUUAUCAACAAGAUGUGACUCACUCGUUGGCUUGCUGUUGAAUGUCAGAUUUUAGUUGAACAUUAAAUGAGAUACUACAUGCAAAUAGUCUGAAAGAGCACUAGCUUAUCACAAGCAUUUCUUUAUUUUUCUUCCUUCUUAUACCACCAUGCCCAGCAUAGGGCUUGGCACACAGUAGGUACUCAAUAAAUAUUUGCUGAAAAGAUGAAUGAAGGGGCCCAUCAUGGGACCUCCUGGGAAAAGGGGCCCUGAGCAGAUGUACAACGGCCCUGUGGCCAGAUGCUUUGAAAGAGAGUCACCAACCCUAGCAGAGAACCAAGACUUGACAUCUCAGGGAAAUCCAGGGCACAUCAGGAUCCUGGGCUGAAGAGGGGUGGUCCACUUCCCCUUUGGAAUGAGCUCAGGGAAGGGGGCCCAGAUCCUUCCCGGAAAAUGGUUUGGAAUCAACUCCCGUACAGAGACGCCUGAGCUUGGCUGAACUUCCCUGCCCGACUUCAAUCCCCUAGAAAACACUGAAGGCGAGUGUGACCAGCUGCUCACUGUGGCCGAAUGACCUCCAUCAGGUCUCCACCCAAGACCCCGCGUGGAGCGUGCUCUUUCCCGGGAGGAGGCUGAGACACACUUGUUUUUUAAAAAUGAAGAGAACCACAUGAGAUGGUUCCUGACCCAGGAUAUUGACACAUCAGCUCAAAGCGGGAGGAUGUCGACCAACAAUAAUAACCGAGGGCCGCCACAGUGCCCUGUGGGCUUUCUUUCUGGAAAAAACUAGCUGGCAGAGGCCGCUGGAGACCCAGGCGUCUCCUCGUUCAAGAUAAUAAAACCACAACCCGGCACACAACGCACAGUUGUUCUCUGUUUUUAUAACAGGAAGGCAGGCACCCAGCACAUUCCAAAGCACCAUCAGCUCGUUAAGAACUAGUUAGCUGGAGAAAGAAGGAGGGGCUACCCUGUUUACCCUGGUGAGAUUUUAACCAGUCCAGUAGCCCCUGGACUUGCAAGGCAGGACUGAGAUGGACUUUGUGGACAUAAUAUGGACAUCAGGCCACGUGCACCGCAGAGCUCAGCCUCAACUCAGCCUCAAGAACCUUAAGGCAGUGGUUCUCGAACUUUCUCAGCUUAAGCCACCCCACUCAAGAAUUUUUUCACAGUAGUCCCUGGACCAAAGAAAUGCUGACCGAUUUCACAAUUUCAUAUAUUAAGUAGUAAGAACUAAC
rnacentral:lncRNA from 1 species